GCUAGCCAGAGGGUUUUUGUGGCAAGGGGAUAUGGGGAAGAGGAGGGCAUUGGGAUCUAGAGGUGAUGAAGGACCACAGACAUCUGAACAUCAGUGAGGGUCAGAAGAGGUUGAGAACUUAUUUGUCCUUGGUCCGGUCACAGUGUGCCUGUAAACUGUCAAUAAAACAUAGCUAGUUGUUUACAGACUUCGCCUUUAAUCCCAGAGUUUCAAAAACUACAUGAUUGCUGUUUUGCAUUUUGUCUCAGUGCUCUAAAAUUAUCCUAGCAGACGUGCAGGAAUGAGUAAAGGCCUCUUAAACACAAAUGGAGGGAGUGAUGUUUGUUCUUUGCUUCUUCACUGUUACAGGCCUAAUGUAACCUCAAGUGCUGGAAGUCAGAAAAUGACACCUCAAAAUAUGGCGCUUUGACAUGCUAAGUACAGUCAUCCCUCAGUAUCCAUGCAGGAUUGGUUCCAGCACCCCUGCAGGUACCAAAAUCUAAGGAUGCUUAAUUUCCUUAUAUCAUAUUUGCAUGUUAUCUGUACAUAUCCUCCCAUAUACCUUACAGCAUCGCUAGAUUACUUAUAAUACCUAACACAACAUAAAUGCUAUGUAAAUAGUUAAUUUUUAAAUGUGUGUUUUUUUUUUGGAGACCGAGUCUCGCUCUGUCGCCCAGCUCACUGCAACCUCUGCCUCCCGAGUUCAAGAGAUUCUCCUGCCUCAGCUUCCCAAGUAGCUGGGAUUACAGCCAGGCACCACCAGGCCUGGCUAAUUUUUGUAUUUUUAGUAGAGACGAGGUUUCACCAUGUUGGCCAGGCUGAUCUCAAACUCCUGACCUCGACUGAUCCACUCGCCUCAGCCUCCCAAAGUGCUGGGAUUACAGGCAUGAGCUGCCAUGCCUAGCCAGUAUUAUUUGUAAAUGUUGUAUUGUUAUGAUUGUUUUUUAAUGUUUUCCAUUAGCAAUUGGUUGAAUCUGCAGAUGUGGAAUGCACCGAUGCAGAGGGCUGUAUUUUGAACUGAAGCAGCAGCCUCAGAACGAAGGUCUCUCUGCCCUUCUCCAGUCUCCAUCCUGUGUCUCCAUCCUUUCUUUCCCAAAGCACAGGGAGGGGCUUUCCUGAAGCUUCCCUUAUCUAAGGGAAGUUCCUCCAGAAGGAAUGCAAUUGUCUUGGCCCCGGAACCCACACUAACCAGAGGAGAGACUAAUGCCUUUGUUCCCAGUGCAGCUCCUGCCCUCACCCUCCAUUGCUGGUCGCCACCACCCUCCAGGAGCCUGUAAGCCCCUAAUUCUUUCUGUAGCUCAAAAUGCUAUUUAAGCUUCAACCAUCCGGUCCUUCUUGGAGGCGCCUACCCUGUGUGACCCCUGUGCACAUGCACCUCAUAAAUGUGUGUCUUUCCUCCUGCUCAUCUGUCUCCUGCUGAGUGCAUUUUUCAGGCUCGAAUACUGAACCUCCAGGAGAGAGAGAGAAGGUUCUGUCACUCCUACACAAGGAUCCUUAUAUAUAGAAGAGGGAGACAAAACAAGAGUGUCAGAGUGAGACAGCACCAGAAAGACUCCACCAGCCAUUUCGCUGGCUUUGAAGGCGGAGGAAGAGGCCACAAGCCGGGGGAUCCAGGCAGCCUCCAAAAGCUGGAAAAGGAAAGGAGACAUGGUGUGUUUGUUAACAUGGAGGACCAGCACUGAAUAAAUGUCGCAUCUCUGAUGAGAGCUUAAUAAAGAGAAAACACUUAAGGAAGAAAGACUCGAACCCAUCCUCGGAUUCCCACGGUGAAGACAGCCCUCAUUACUGCAAGCCACCAAACCCUCCCAAGGGCCUCUGACAUAUUAUUUUGGGCACUUAAACCUUUCCUUCUAGAAUAUGGGUCAUAAGCCCUUUCUCUCCCCCAUCUUCUCUCCUCUGACUGAUGACAAAGAAUCUUAAUUAAGUGUCCCUUGGCUGCUGGUUUAAUUUGAUAAAUAUAAAAUUGAAGCAUGCUAAUAAAGCCAUCCAUCAUCCC
rnacentral:lncRNA from 1 species